AUAUUGGUUUUUCCUAGGAACCCUUGAUUGUGAGACAAUGUGACCAUCGGUUUCUAAGGUUUUUGUAUUGAUUCUUGAAGGAGUCAUCGGAACUGGCGGCACUUGAAGCAUCCAAAGGAUUCGAGAGACGAUAAUGUUCCCUGUUUCAAAUCUUUUUGAGGUGCUCAGUUUUUCUGUCGACAAGGUGGUUGUGGCGUUUGAUUUAUAUGGUUAGGGUUUUCCAGAAUUGGGCUGACGGGAGAUCCGGGCACUCCAAAUAAGUGAGACAGGCAAGAGUGAGCUACUUCCGUACCAGCUUGAAGGAUUGAAUUUCUUACGUUUCUCAUGGUCUAAAGUCUAAACAAACACAUGUGAUACUUGCAGACGAAAUGGG